rnacentral:snRNA from 1 species
ACGCUCGCUUCAGCAGCACAUAUACUAAAAUUGGAACGAGACAGAGAUUAGCACGGCCCCUGCGUGAGGAUGACACCCAAAGUCGUGAAGCAUUCCACAUUUUC